rnacentral:rRNA from 1 species
UACGAAUGGGGCAAGCGUUGUUCGGAAUCACUGGGCUUAAAGCGUGCGCAGGCGGUCUUGCAAGUCAGAAGUGAAAGCCCGGGGCUUAACCCCGGAAUUGCUUUUGAAACUGCAAGACUAGAAUAUGGGAGAGGUUAGCAGAAUUCCGAGUGUAGAGGUGAAAUUCGUAGAUAUUGGGAAGAACACCGGUGGCGAAGGCGGCGACCUGGUCCGAUACUGACGCUGAGGCGCGAAAGCGUGGGGAGCAAACAGG